rnacentral:rRNA from 1 species
UACGAACUGUGCGAACGUUACUCGGAAUCACUGGGCUUACAGGGUGCGUAGGCGGCUUGCUAAGCAGGGUGUGAAAUCCCUCGGCUCAACCGAGGAACUGCGCUCUGAACUGGCGAGCUGGAGGAUGCUAGGGGUGUAUGGAACAUCUAGUGGAGUGGUGAAAUGUGUUGAUAUUAGGUGGAACGCCGGAGGCGAAGGCGAUACACUGGGGCAUAUCUGACGCUGAGGCACGAAAGCCAGGGGAGCAAACGGG